GUCGUAACAAGGUUUCCGUAGGUGAACCUGCGGAAGGAUCAUUAUCGAGUUUUGACUGGGUUGUAGCUGGCCUUCCGAGGCAUGUGCACGCCCUGCUCAUCCACUCUACACCUGUGCACUUACUGUGGGUAUCAGAUCGUGAAGCGUGCUCUUUUACCGGAGCUUGUGAAGCGUGUCUGUGCCUGCGUUUAUCACAAACACUAUAAAGUAUCAGAAUGUGUAUUACGAUGUAACGCAUCUAUAUACAACUUUCAGCAACGGAUCUCUUGGCUCUCGCAUCGAUGAAGAACGCAGCGAAAUGCGAUAAGUAAUGUGAAUUGCAGAAUUCAGUGAAUCAUCGAAUCUUUGAACGCACCUUGCGCUCCUUGGUAUUCCGAGGAGCAUGCCUGUUUGAGUGUCAUGAAAUCUUCAACCUAUAAGCUUUUGUGGUUUGUAGGCUUGGACUUGGAGGCUUGUCGGCCUUGAUCGGUCGGCUCCUCUUAAAUGCAUUAGCUUGAUUCCUUGCGGAUCGGCUCUCGGUGUGAUAAUAUCUACGCCGCGACCGUGAAGCGUUUGGCGAGCUUCUAACCGUCUCACUUGAGAGACAACUUUAUGAYCUCUGACCUCAAAUCAGGUAGGACUA
rnacentral:rRNA from 1 species